rnacentral:rRNA from 1 species
CCUACGGGUGGCUGCAGUGGGGGAUAUUGCACAAUGGGGGAAACCCUGAUGCAGCGACGCCGCGUGGGUGAAGAAGCGCCUCGGCGCGUAAAGCCCUUUCAGCAGGGAAGAAAAUGACGGUACCUGAAGAAGAAGCCCCGGCUAACUACGUUCCAACAGCCGCGGUAAUACGUAGGGGGCAAGCGUUAUCCGGAGUUACUGGGUGUAAAGGGGGCGCAGACGGCGAUGCAAGCCAGGAGAGAAAGCCCGGGGCCCAACCCCGGGACUGCACUUGGAACUGCGUGGCUAGAGUGCAGGAGGGGCAGGCGGAAUUCCUGGUGUAGCGGUGAAAUGCGUAGAUAUCAGGAGGAACACCGGUGGCGAAGGCGGCCAGCUGGACUGCAACUGACGUUGAGGCCCGAAAGCGUGGGGAGCAAACAGGAUUAGAUACCCGAGUAGUC